rnacentral:rRNA from 1 species
UACGUAGGGUGCGAGCGUUGUCCGGAAUUACUGGGCGUAAAGAGCUCGUAGGUGGUUUGUCGCGUUGUUCGUGAAAACUCACAGCUUAACUGUGGGCGUGCGGGCGAUACGGGCAGACUGGAGUACUGCAGGGGAGACUGGAAUUCCUGGUGUAGCGGUGGAAUGCGCAGAUAUCAGGAGGAACACCGGUGGCGAAGGCGGGUCUCUGGGCAGUAACUGACGCUGAGGAGCGAAAGCGUGGGGAGCAAACAGGAUUAGAACCUACGUC